AACGCGAAGAACCUUACCUACUCUUGACAUCCACGGAAUUUGGUAGAGAUACCUUAGUGCCUUCGGGAACCGUGAGACAGGUGCUGCAUGGCUGUCGUCAGCUCGUGUUGUGAAAUGUUGGGUUAAGUCCCGCAACGAGCGCAACCCUUAUCCUUUGUUGCCAGCGAUUCGGUCGGGAACUCAAAGGAGACUGCCGGUGAUAAACCGGAGGAAGGUGGGGAUGACGUCAAGUCAUCAUGGCCCUUACGAGUAGGGCUACACACGUGCUACAAUGGCAUAUACAAAGAGAAGCAAACUCGCGAGAGCCAGCGGACCUCAUAAAGUAUGUCGUAGUCCGGAUUGGAGUCUGCAACUCGACUCCAUGAAGUCGGAAUCGCUAGUAAUCGUAGAUCAGAAUGCUACGGUGAAUACGUUCCCGGGUCUUGUACACACCG
rnacentral:rRNA from 1 species